AUGAGCGCCGCAAGAGAUAUCUCAUGCAAAGCGUGAGAAGCCGAAGGUGCAAGGGCAGUGGCCCCAAUCUCUCAGGCAAAAGGAUUGCGACGUGACG
rnacentral:ncRNA from 2 species